ensembl:lncRNA LINC01500 long intergenic non-protein coding RNA 1500
GGUAGUAGCGCUGCCUGCAAACCAGCACCAAGGCUGCAAACGAAGCCAGAAAGAUGGUGGCCAGCACACCUAUGGCAACUAUCACCACGGUCUCCAUGCUUCCGGGGAGCUCCUGACUCAGUCCCGUUCACAUCGUCCUCAUGGGCUAAGGCUGCUGGAAGUGGCAAACUGGGGGAAGAGGAUGGCAGGAGCUAGGUUCCUCCACGACACCUCCAGAGACCUGAGGGCCUCAAGCUGCAGCUCCGGGGCACAUCCCGCUGCGCUCCCACGACGGCCCCGCGGAUGGCAAAGUCAGCGGCAUCGCCUAUGCAGGCAAUCAAAGGAUGUUGAUGGAUAAGUGUUUCAGGCAGAAUAAUGGCCCUCAAAGAUGUUGACACCAGAAUCUUCAGAACCUUUGCAUAUGUUACCUAACAUGACAAAAGGGACUUUGCUGAUGUGAUUAAGGUUAAGAACUUUGAGAAGGGAAGAUUAUCCUGGAUUAUACAGGUCGACGUUUAUUUCUUUCUGAACUUUCCUGGAGGAUCAUCGGCCAUACUCCAGCAGAAGGGUGGAUUUGAAAAAAUAACGUUUCCACGGCAACAGUGGCAGCAAUUCAAAGGAAGACGUUGGAGAAUUCACAUGCUAUUUUAGCUGGCUCUGUGAUUGCAAUCACACAAAUCAUUACAUUCCAGCGAGAUCCCAUCAACAGAAGGUUUUUCCAUUUCAGUCUGUCAAGUUUUUCAGGCAUGAAUACUGUAAGCAAGAAGAGAAAAGUUACAAUAAAUUGACAUUUAUAGUUGAAGUUGACCUCUAACCUGUGAAGCUUUCUUGAACAUUCCCUCACUGAAAACUCCUUUUCAUUACUUUUCCUGUAUUGUAUCUCUACAUGCUCAUGAGCAGUUUAAAUCAUUGGCAGAUCUGGAUAGUAUCUGCUAAAAACAUGUUGGCACCUAGAUUCCACUGUUACUAACUAAACAUGAAGCUAAAAAUAAAUGAGAGAUGCUAG